rnacentral:rRNA from 1 species
UGAAAUUAAUCUCCCCGUGAAGAAGCGGGGAUACUCAUAUAAGACGAGAAGACCCCAUGGAGCUUCAAACCCAACUACACCCCUAGCUCUUAUAGCCCCACAACCCCCCUAGGCACCGUGUGCUUGGUUUUAGGUUGGGGCGACCGCGGAGUACAAUAAAACCUCCACAAUGAAUGGGAACACCCCCUUAUCUGAGGGCCACACCCCCUAAGAAUUAGAACACUAACAUAAAAUGAUCCAUUAUUUGAUCAAUGAACCAAGUUACCCUGGGGAUAACAGCGCAAUCCAUUUCAAGAGCCCCUAUCGACAAAUGGGUUUACGACCUCGAUGUUGGAUCAGGGUACCCCAGUGGUGCAGCAGCUACUAACGGUUCGUUUGUUCAACGAUUAAAACCCU